rnacentral:misc_RNA from 1 species
ACAGUACUGCUCUCAUAACCUUCUCCGCUGUUGAAAAACUUCUCCGCGAGAAGCGGUCAUGAUUCGCCAUUGUCAAGUUAUCAAGCUCACGAGGAAUGCGAUCCCAGGUUGGUCUGAUUGGAUAUAUGAUACGUCUGGGACACGAUGUUCGAGUUGGCACAGGCUAGAAUCGAUUGGGAUGUCGGAAGGAUGCUUGAUAUACUCUUGACUGAUAUUAAUUGUUACUGGAGGCGCCACCGCAUCAAUUAUUAGUCGCGACAAGACGAAUUCAAGCGCAUGCAAGUUAUUUCAUGGUUUUGUGUGCAUCAGCUUGCAGCAAGCAGAUCCCAGACGUUGACUGGCGGUAGGGGAUGUCUGGUAUCUACUUGCUGCGAUCUGUUUCAGACGGGCUUGACUCACGGGGUAUUUACAGUAUUUAUUACAUUGGAUGGCGUUUCGUCACGCUCCGAAUGCCGAGGGAUGUAUGAAAUGAUCUACUGCAACAAGCAGGUGAACCAGGUGUACUCCAUUUACGUUUCCACUCUUUCUUGCUGAUAUAUGCGAUGGAGGCCUGCACAUGAUCAGUGAAAAUGUCGAUGUUCAGACUGGAGUGUCUAGCAAGGCGGUCCGGUUCGUAAGAUGCUCCUGUCACUGAUACUUUAUUUCCUGCAGAUCCUUCGUGUAUGAACAGGAGGCAUAUUUACGUUCCUGGAUGUCUACUGCCAUGGCUUCACUGUGAUCCUGCAGUCUACUCACAUCGAUAUGUGCAGGAGACAAGAGACAAACACGCUUGGUAGACAGUAGCUGAUCGAAUCGAUAUCGUGUUACCCGCUUUGAUUGCUAAGAAGAAUUGCUCCCGACGAUGAUGCUGCCACUUGUAUCUUAUUGCCUUGCACAUGCGUACAUGAAAUGUUGUGCUUUAGGUCAUUCAUCGCCAUGAGAUACAUGGAAUAUUGUGGAAAGACACUUCAAACUAAUUGCAUAUUUCAGUUUUCCGUCAUCCUAAGUUGCAACCAACUAUGCAUUGCAACGAGCAAUUAAUAACCUUGGUGAUUGAAGUAUAGGAUAAGCCUGUUAUGUCUCACUAGGUAAUGGGAUUCAGGGAUGAAGAUAUGUGGACAUGAGUAGCUUAUCCCAUGGACCUUAGAGCCCACUAAGACCCUAAACAUAAAGGGUUUUCUAUCUUAGUUUUGCCUUAGUCAUUGAAUUAAUUACUCAAGGAUUUCAUCAG